rnacentral:rRNA from 1 species
UCAGAUCAAGGGGGUGAAAGUGAGGCUCGCCUGGAUUUGCCACUCACGGGAGAUGAGGCGUAUCGUCUGCUUAUUAGUGGCCUGAACAACCUUAAAGGACUGCUAAGACCGCAUACCUCCUACGGGAGAAAGCAGGGGACCUUCGGGCCUUGCGCUAAUAGAUGAGCCUAAGUCGGAUUAGCUAGUUGGAGGGGUAAAGGCCUACCAAGGCGACGAUCUGUAGCGGGUCUGAGAGGAUGAUCCGCCACACUGGGACUGAGACACGGCCCAGACUCCUACGGGAGGCAGCAGUGGGGAAUAUUGGACAAUGGGGGGAACCCUGAUCCAGCCAUGCCGCGUGUGUGAAGAAGGCCUUAUGGUUGUAAAGCACUUUAAGCGAGGAGGAGGCUACUAGUAUUAAUACUACUGGAUAGUGGACGUUACUCGCAGAAUAAGCACCGGCUAACUCUGUGCCAGCAGCCGCGGUAAUACAGAGGGUGCGAGCGUUAAUCGGAUUUACUGGGCGUAAAGCGUGCGUAGGCGGCCAUUUAAGUCAAAUGUGAAAUCCCCGAGCUUAACUUGGGAAUUGCAUUCGAUACUGGAUGGCUAGAGUAUGGGAGAGGAUGGAAGAAUUCCAGGUGUAGCGGUGAAAUGCGUAGAGAUCUGGAGGAAUACCGAUGGGAAUGCC